UGGAUGUUAUAUCGCAGAUGUUCACACUAUUUCUAAGAAUUGUCCUGAACACUUCCUUGUUUGAACAAGUCAUACCAAGGCAUGGUCUCGUCGUCUCUCUCCUACUGCAACAAGAAAAGAAGAAAAAUGCAUACUACGUUCUGGACGCUGAACAUUUGUUCUAAAGAACAGCACAGAGGGAGUAGAAGUAACAGUACUGCUGUACAACUGGAACUCGAGUCACAUCGAAUAAUAACAAAGGGCAAACCAUCAACGAAUCGGAGAAGCCGAGGCCCAGAUGUGGCAAACAAUGUACAAAGAACAAGGAGAGGAAAUAAAACACAGCUGGAGACGCGAGUCACGGGCAUGCUCAUAGCAGUCACAGCUCUGUUCACACCGGGCAUCCCUGAGCCCACUCUCACCCCCCCAUAGCUUCUGCGGGGUCGAGAAUUUCUACCCCAAGUCCGGCUCUACUUCAAGACUCCAUUUGUACAAGGAUGAGAGGGAGAAUACAAGAGGUUAUGUACAUCUCCCUUGUUCCACGGUGCCCAGGUGGUUUAUACAACCAUCCAUUUCAAAUCCCAGGGUGGAAAAUUGAAGAGCUGCUGUUACCUAUUAUUUCAUGAUUGGUGAUAAUUGAAACAAGUAUUUUAUUCCUUCAAUUCUGGGUUUUUCAUAAAAGGGCUUAACAUUUUCUGGGGUUUUCAUAGUGGCACUAAUUGCUUUGUUAAUUAACGUAACCUCAGUGCCACGGAGCUAGUGUUUCCACCUUCUGAUUUAUGUAAUAAUAAUCUUAGUUAAAUGUAA